CCCCCACCUCGUUCCCCCUUGCUCGGACCCAGGCUUUGCUGUCCCCGUCCCCCCAUCCAUCCACCCGCCCGCCUCCUCCAUCCCGGGCCCCACAAACUUGCUCCGGGCGUUUUUGCCAUCACACCACGGAGAGAAAAUGAUGGUUUAUUUUGGACACCGUGGGCGAUCAGCUGAGCCGGCUCCUGUAGUCCAAGCUGGAAGGAGAGGGAGAAGGGAGGUAGUUUGGGAGAUGGAGAGACAUGUCCUGAAUUUCCCCAAAGCCUAGAUUGGGAAAAUAAAGACUUCUUGGCAUUAUAAGUAAAUCCGUCUGCAGAAUCGAAGCAGCACCAACAUUCAAAAAAACUGAAGAGGAAAAUACAACAAAACACAACAAUCUCUUUUUUUUAUUCUUAUUCUUAUUAUUUAUGUAAAUCAGGUCAUCACUGGACAAGAAACCAAUUUCUACCCAUUACCAUAACAGCUUGUCUAUAAAGAACAGAAAAGAUUCAGGUAGGAUACUAUCUAGUCAAGCGGGAUUUUUUUUUGUUGGUUUUAUUUUUUCUUUCUUUUUUGUUUGGU